UUUCCGUAGGUGAACCUGCGGAAGGAUCAUUAAUGAGUUGUCAUGGGGUUCGAUGCUGGCAGCCAAUUUUUGGAUGCAUGUGCUUGCCCUAACAAUCAUCUUCCAAACACCUGUGCACAUUUUUGAGGGAGUCUUGAGUUGGUUGCCGCUCUUGGGUGAUUUUCUCACAUACCCUUAAAUCAUUAUACGCUAUUAACAAUGUUGAACGUGCUCUGUGCCGCAAGGCUAUUAAUAUAAUACAACUUUUAACAACGGAUCUCUUGGCUCUC
rnacentral:misc_RNA from 1 species